CACCGUCCAAAUGCAGUGUUUUCAGUAGCUUCAAGCUGGAACCAAUGCGUGGUGCCGUCUUCAGACAAAAGCUUGAUGUGAAUAAGGUACGAGGGAAACAUGGCAUUUCGAUUCGCAUAUCGAAUUCGGUGCUCUGGACUGACAGUCUUCGCGUCUUCUUUGAAAUAUCACCUUUAGGAUCUUUCCAAACCGUACAGAAAUUCUCAUCUGCUGAUUUAGAAAGAGCAAUCUUGUGCAUAAGGCUAUGGAGUCGGCAAGUUUGCGGCCUUCCAUCAAAGUCCGAUUCACUUGCCUGUAUUAAGUUCCUCUCCAUGAGCUCUUCGAGGUACUUUUCUCCAAUAUCUUCGACUUCUUUGCCAUUCUCUUUCUCUACAAGACCUUCGGCUAUCCACAAUCUAAUCAAUGUUCUUCGCUUCACAGAGUAAUCGUCCGGAAACAUGGUCAUGUACAGAAAGCAGAAUUUAAGAUGGUCCGG
rnacentral:lncRNA from 1 species